CCUACGGGGGGCAGCAGUGGGGAAUAUUGCACAAUGGGGGAAACCCUGAUGCAGCGACGCCGCGUGAGUGAAGAAGUAAUUCGUUAUGUAAAGCUCUAUCAGCAGGGAAGAAAAUGACGGUACCUGAGUAAGAAGCCCCGGCUAACUACGUGCCAGCAGCCGCGGUAAUACGUAGGGGGCAAGCGUUAUCCGGAUUUACUGGGUGUAAAGGGAGCGCAGGCGGGAAGCCAAGUCAGCUGUGAAAACUACGGGCUUAACUUGUAGACUGCAGUUGAAACUGGUUUUCUUGAGUGAAGUAGAGGUUG
rnacentral:rRNA from 1 species